rnacentral:rRNA from 1 species
ACGGGGGGAGCAAGCGUUGUUCGGAUUUACUGGGCGUAAAGGGCUCGUAGGCGGCCAACUAAGUCGGACGUGAAAUCCCUCGGCUUAACCGGGGAACUGCGUCCGAUACUGGAUGGCUUGAGUUUGGGAGAGGGAUGCGGAAUUCCAGGUGUAGCGGUGAAAUGCGAAGAUAUCUGGAGGAACACCGGUGGCGAAGGCGGCAUCCUGGACCAAUACCGACGCUGAGGAGCGAAAGCCAGGGGAGCAAACGGGA